rnacentral:rRNA from 1 species
AGAACGAACGCUGGCGGCAGGCCUAACACAUGCAAGUCGAACGCUCGUAGCAAUACGAGAGUGGCAGACGGGUGAGUAACACGUGGGAACCUUCCCUAUGGUUCGGAAUAGCUCAGGGAAACUUGGGGGUAAUACCGGGAUAAGCCCUUCGGGGGGAAAGAUUUAUCGCCAUUGGAUGGGCCCGCGUCGGAUUAGCUAGUUGGUGAGGUAACGGCUCACCAAGGCAACGAUCCGUAGCUGGUCUGAGAGGAUGAUCAGCCACACUGGGACUGAGACACGGCCCAGACUCCUACGGGAGGCAGCAGUGGGGAAUAGUUGGACAAUGGGCGCAAGCCUGAUCCAGCCAUGCCGCGUGAGUGACGAAGGUCUCGGAUUGUAAACUCUUUUGGCGGGGACGAGUAAUGACGGUACCCGCAGAAUAAGCCCCGACUAACCUUCGUAGCCAGCACGCCGCC